rnacentral:sRNA from 1 species
CGAUAUGCAAAAGCGUCUGUAGUCCAACGGUUAGGAUAA